GACGAACGCUGGCGGCGUGCUUAACACAUGCAAGUCGAACGGAAAGGCCCUGCUUUUGUGGGGUGCUCGAGUGGCGAACGGGUGAGUAACACGUGAGUAACCUGCCCUUGACUUUGGGAUAACUUCAGGAAACUGGGGCUAAUACCGGAUAGGAGCUCCUGCUGCAUGGUGGGGGUUGGAAAGUUUCGGCGGUUGGGGAUGGACUCGCGGCUUAUCAGCUUGUUGGUGGGGUAGUGGCUUACCAAGGCUUUGACGGGUAGCCGGCCUGAGAGGGUGACCGGGCAAAAGGGGGCGAGAUAUCGGCCCGAGCCCCAGGGGGGGGGAAGGGGGGGGAAGUUUGAAAGAGGGGGGGGACGCUUGAGGAGGAACCGCGGGGGGGGGGUGGAGGCCUUGGGGUUGGAAACCCUUUUCCGCCGGGGAGGAGGGGGGGGUGAGGGUAGGGGGAAAAGAAGCACCGGCUAACAACGU
rnacentral:rRNA from 1 species